rnacentral:rRNA from 1 species
GACGUAGGGUCCAAGCGUUGUCCGGAUUUACUGGGCGUAAAGAGCGCGUAGGCGGCUCGAUAAGUGUGAAGUGAAAUCUCUAGGGCUCAACCCAGAAACUGCUUUACAUACUGUCGAGCUGGAGUGAUGAAGAGGUUUGUGGAAUUCCCGGUGUAGCGGUGAAAUGCGUUGAUAUCAGGAGGAACACCCAUGGCGAAGGCAGCAAACUGGUCAUCAACUGACGCUGAGGCGCGAAAGCGUGGGUAGCAAACAGG